rnacentral:rRNA from 1 species
GAUGAACGCUGGCGGCGUGCCUAAUACAUGCAAGUCGAGCGAACGGACGAGAAGCUUGCUUUUCUGAUGUUAGCGGCGGACGGGUGAGUAACACGUGGAUAACCUACCUAUAAGACUGGGAUAACUUCGGGAAACCGGAGCUAAUACCGGAUAAUAUUUUGAACCGCAUGGUUCGAAAGUGAAAGACGGUCUUGCUGUCACUUAUAGAUGGAUCCGCGCUGCAUUAGCUAGUUGGUAAGGUAACGGCUUACCAAGGCAACGAUGCAUAGCCGACCUGAGAGGGUGAUCGGCCACACUGGAACUGAGACACGGUCCAGACUCCUACGGGAGGCAGCAGUAGGGAAUCUUCCGCAAAGGGCGAAAGCCUGACGGAGCAACGCCGCGUGAGUGAUGAAGGUCUUCGGAUCGUAAAACUCUGUUAUUAGGGAAGAACAUAUGUGUAAGUAACUGUGCACAUCUUGACGGUACCUAAUCAGAAAGCCACGGCUAACUACGUG